GUGGCAAUCCUUUCAAGUCUCAGUGUUAUGAAACCAAAUUUGCCUCCUUAAAGUAUUACACAUUAUCUCUAAUUCACUGUGUUUAUUACUCAUGUCUUAUGCACUUAUACAUUUGAAAUCAUGUUUUCCUUUGCUGGUUCUUAUAGGGUGUUGGACUCAGAGUUUAGAAGACUUGAGCUCAAAUUUUGUCUCAGACCUUUAUUAGCUGUAUGACAGUGGGUCCUGAGCUCUCUCCAUCAUCUAGCUGCUUCUAUGAAGGCAAUCUAUUAAAAGGCACCUUGAUUAUGUGGGCCCUGGCAGAGACCUCCAUGGCUUAUAGAGAGCAAUCCUUAUGGCCAAAGAAUGACAUAAAGCUUAUUCUUAUGAGUACAACUUCUACUGAUCCUGGAUAGAACUCUGCACCACUUACUAAUUUCAGUGUGAGAAUCAACAGACUAAAAUGGUGCUCUAGGGAAAACAUAUAUCAUCAUUUCUUGGCCAACUUGCUGUUUAGUUGUUUUCAAUCUUAUCUAACUCUUCAUGACCCCUUUUGGGGUUUUCUUGGCAAAAAUACUGGAAUGGUUUGCCAUUUCCUUCUAAUGGAUUAAGGCAAAUGGAGCUCUUUUUUAUAUGUACCAUCUUCCUCUCACUUCAGAGAGGCAAGUGCUAUGGUGGAAAGAGUACUGCAUUAGGAUUUGGAAGAAUGGGAUUCUAGUCCUGAUGUGGCGAUCUUGGGUGAUCUAUUCAGACUUUCUGAACCUCAGUUUCCUAUAGAUACUGUUUGGCAACUUUGAGUCCCUCACAAAACUGUUGUGUGGAUCAUGUGUAGAGAAGUGCAAUGGAAAUUGUAAAGUUAACCAGCUGUGUGGUCCUGGACAAGUCACUUAUCCUUUCUUAGCCUCAAUUUCUUCAUCUGUAAAAUGGGGUAACAAUAGCACCUCCCUCUCAUUUGUAAAGUGGUUUGUAAACUUUAAGGAAUUAUUAUUAUUAUUAUUACAAUAUACAAAUGUUAUGUAGUAUUGUGACUGGUGGGGUACAUAAAAAUUCUGAUGUUAAAUCUUUACUAGA
rnacentral:lncRNA from 1 species